AAUCGAACUCGGAGAUAGCUGGUUCUCCCCGAAAUAGCUUUAGGGCUAGCCUCGAUUUAGAUUACCGGGGGUAGAGCACUGAAUGGGCUAGGGGGCCACAAAGCUUACCGAACCCUAUCAAACUUCGAAUACCGGAUAAUUGAUGAUCGGGAGUCAGACAGUGUGAGAUAAGUUUCAUUGUCGAAAGGGAAACAGCCCAGAUCUACGACUAAGGUCCCAAAGUUCAAGUUAAGUGGAAAAGGAUGUGCAAUUGCGUAGACAACCAGGAUGUUGGCUUAGUAGCAGCCAUUCAUUCAAAGAGUGCGUAAUAGCUCACUGGUCGAGUGAUUGUGCGCCGAAAAUGUAACGGGGCUAAACUUGACACCGAAGUCUAGGCAGAAGGAAACUUCUGGGUAGGGGAGCAACGUGUACGGGCAGAAGCAGAAGCGGAAGCGACUGUGGACUGUACAGGAGAGAGAAUGCCGGCAUGAGUAGCGAGAGCAAAGUGAGAAUCUUUGCCGUCGAAAGCCUAAGGUUUCCUGAGGAAGGCUCGUCCUCUCAGGGUAAGUCGGGACCUAAGCCGAGGACAAUAGUCGUAGGCGAUGGACAAUCGGUUAAUAUUCCGAUACCGCCGAGCAACCGGAUGCAGUGACACAGAAGGAUAGGCAGAGCGUGGCGAUGGUAGACCAUGUCCAAGCAGUGAGGCUGUUGUGUAGUGAAGUACGCACAACGGAAGGCUGGGCUGUGAUGGGGAACGAUUACGAUCGGUAAGCUGCUGAAUUCACGCUGGCGAGAAAAGCUGCUACGAAGCGAAGGCGCCCGUACCGCAAACCGACACAGGUAGGCGAGGAGAGAAUCCUAAGACGAGCGGGAGAACCCUUGUUAAGGAACUCGGCAAAAUGACUCCGUAACUUAGGGAGAAGGAGUGCCCAGGAAUGGGCCGCAGAGAAUAGACCCAAGCGACUGUUUACCAAAAACACAGGUCUGUGCGAAGUAGAGAUACGACGUAUACGGGCUGACACCUGCCCAGUGCCGGAAGGUUAAGGGGAAAUGUUAGGGCAACCGAAGCAUGGAACUUAAGCCCCGGUGAACGGCGGCCGUAACUAUAACGGUCCUAAGGUAGCGAAAUUCCUUGUCGGGUAAGUUCCGACCCGCACGAAUGGUGUAACGAUUUGGGUACUGUCUCAACAAGGGACCCGGCGAAAUUGUAGUAUGUGUGAAGAUGCACAUUACCCGCGAUAGGACGGAAAGACCCCGUAGAGCUUUACUGUAGUUUAACAUUGGAUUCCGGUAACAUAUGCACAGGAUAGGUGGGAGGCGGAGAAGCAGUGAUUUCGGUUGCUGCAGAGCCGACGUUGGGAUACCACUCUUGUGUUACUGGGGUUCUAACCUGUGGCCGUGAUCCGGCACAGGAACAGUGUUAGAUGGGCAGUUUGACUGGGGCGGUCGCCUCCAAAAGAGUAACGGAGGCGUCCAAAGGUUCCCUCAGAAUGGUUGGAAACCAUUCGAAGAGUACAAAGGCAGAAGGGAGCCUGACUGCGAGACCGACAGGUCGAGCAGGGACGAAAGUCGGGCUUAGUGAUCCGGCGGUAUAGAGUGGAAUUGCCGUCGCUCAACGGAUAAAAGCUACCUCGGGGAUAACAGGCUGAUCUCCCCCAAGAGUCCACAUCGACGGGGAGGUUUGGCACCUCGAUGUCGGCUCAUCGCAUCCUGGGGCUGUAUUCGGUCCCAAGGGUUUGGCUGUUCGCCAAUUAAAGCGGCACGCGAGCUGGGUUCAGAACGUCGUGAGACAGUUCGGUCCCUAUCCAUCGUGGGCGCAGGAGAUUUGAGAAGAGCUGUCCUCAGUACGAGAGGACCGGGAUGGACGCACCAAGGGUGUAUCAGUUGUCACGCCAGUGGCACAGCUGGGUAGCCAAGUGCGGAUCGGAUAAACGCUGAAGGCAUCUAAGCGUGAAGCCGACUUCAAGAUAAGAUCUCCCAUCCGCAAGGAGUAAGGCCCCAUGUAGACCACAUGGUUGA
rnacentral:rRNA from 1 species